rnacentral:rRNA from 1 species
UAGGGAAUAUUGGACAAUGGGCGCAAGCCUGAUCCAGCCAUGCCGCGUGAGUGAAGAAGGCCCUCGGGUUGUAAAGCUCUUUUGUCCGGAAAGAAAAGCUUUGGGUUAAUACCCCGAAGUCCUGACGGUACCGGAAGAAUAAGCACCGGCUAACUUCGUGCCAGCAGCCGCGGUAAUACGAAGGGUGCAAGCGUUACUCGGAAUUACUGGGCGUAAAGCGUGCGUAGGUGGUUCGUUAAGUCCGAUGUGAAAGCCCUGGGCUCAACCUGGGAAUGGCAUUGGAUACUGGCGGGCUAGAGUGCGGUAGAGGGCAGUGGAAUUCCCGGUGUAGCAGUGAAAUGCGUAGAGAUCGGGAGGAACAUCUGUGGCGAAGGCGACUGCCUGGACCAGCACUGACACUGAGGCACGAAAGCGUGGGGAGCAAACAGG